UAGCAGGCAGAUUCUCAACCACUGCGCCACCGGGGAAGCCCCGUAUUUUUAAUUAAGACUUGUAAAGAACUUCAGCCUAUUGAUCAGGACUGCAACUUUGAGACAUGCUACCUUGGUACGAAUCCUGGUCGUAUCUCUUAUUUUGUGAUUUGAACAACUAAGGCCAUCAUGAAACAGAGUAUUUAACUCAGAAAUGAAACUUGGAUGUGACCUCGUACACAGGGAACCCCCGUUACUGACUUGUCACGUUACUGAACGUCGUCUUUUCUUCCUUGAGUCGGGAUAAAGCAGACCUGUCCUCUAAAGUCAUU